UACGUAGGGGGCGAGCGUUGUCCGGAGUUACUGGGCGUAAAGAGUGUGUAGGCGGUGCUCUAAGUUUGGUGUGAAAUCUCCCGGCUCAACUGGGAGGGUGCGCCGAAAACUGGAGUGCUUGAGUGUGGGAGAGGAAAGCGGAAUUCCUGGUGUAGCGGUGAAAUGCGUAGAUAUCAGGAGGAACACCUGCGGUGUAGACGGCUUUCUGGACCAUUACUGACGCUGAGACACGAAAGCGUGGGUAGCAAACAGG
rnacentral:rRNA from 1 species